rnacentral:lncRNA from 1 species
GUCAAUUUCGAAUUCCAAAAAUUAUUUAUAUAGACUUUGUCUUCUUUCACAGGUAAUCAUUAUAUGGGGCGGAUGCAGACAUUUAAAAAAGGGGUGUGUGUGUGUUCCAACUUUAAGUCCCCAUUCAAAUGCAUUGACCAUUAAAAAAAAGGGGGUGUUCCAACCCCUGGAACCCUCCUUGGAAUCACCACUGUGUGUGCCUCAUAUUAUUGUUAUAAGACUUUUAUAGAAUAACAGAAAUUUUGAAAGCUAGAUUUUUCAACAACACAGGAUCUUAAAAUAAUUUAUAUUGUUCAAAAU